AGCACGGGAGCUUGCUCCCUGGUGGCUAGUGGCGAACGGGUGAGUAAUGCGUCGGAACGUGCCGAGUAAUGGGGGAUAACGCAGCGAAAGUUGUGCUAAUACCGCAUACGCCCUGAGGGGGAAAGUGGGGGAUCGCAAGACCUCACGUUAUUCGAGCGGCCGACGUCUGAUUAGCUAGUUGGUGGGGUAAAGGCCUACCAAGGCGACGAUCAGUAGCGGGUCUGAGAGGAUGAUCCGCCACACUGGGACUGAGACACGGCCCAGACUCCUACGGGAGGCAGCAGUGGGGAAUUUUGGACAAUGGGGGCAACCCUGAUCCAGCCAUUCCGCGUGAGUGAAGAAGGCCUUCGGGUUGUAAAGCUCUUUCAGCUGGAGUGAAACGGUGCGCUCUAACAUAGCGCGCUAAUGACGGUACCAGCAGAAGAAGCACCGGCUAACUACGUGCCAGCAGCCGCGGUAAUACGUAGGGUGCGAGCGUUAAUCGGAAUUACUGGGCGUAAAGCGUGCGCAGGCGGAUUGUUAAGCAAGAUGUGAACUCCCCGGGCUUAACCUGGGAAUGGCAUUUUGAACUGGCAGUCUAGAGUGCGUCAGAGGGGGGUGGAAUUCCACGUGUAGCAGUGAAAUGCGUAGAGAUGUGGAGGAACACCGAUGGCGAAGGCAGCCCCCUGGGAUGACACUGACGCUCAUGUACGAAAGCGUGGGUAGCAAACAGGAUUAGAUACCCUGGUAGUCCACGCCCUAAACGAUGUCAACUGGUUGUUGGGGGAGUGAAAUCCCUUAGUAACGAAGCUAACGCGUGAAGUUGACCGCCUGGGGAGUACGGUCGCAAGAUUAAAACUCAAAGGAAUUGACGGGGACCCGCACAAGCGGUGGAUGAUGUGGAUAAUUCGAUCCACGCGAAAACCUUCCUACCUGACAGUCCAGAACCUGNAGGAUUUGGGUGCUACCCGGAGUGNNACACGNNCGCUUGAGCGUGCCUUCCG
rnacentral:rRNA from 1 species